rnacentral:misc_RNA from 1 species
UGAAAACUCUGAGCAUGGCUUCAGGAUAAGGGAACACUUACGGUUUUGUGGCAAUCGAAAUUCCAGGCGGACCCUCGUCCUAAAGAGGAGACCCACGGACCAACCAUCGAUCGAAUGGUUGGUCCGUCGGGNNNNNNNCUCUGCGCAUUGUGUGCAGGCCCGGACGCAAUCGUCCAUGCCACCCAAUCGCUCGCAAUCCUUGGCACACUCGGUGCAAAUCUCCGCGCAUUCGCGGCACACAUGCUUGUGAUGAAGCGAGUUCAACAGCAUGAAGUGUGCGGAGGUCCGGCAGAUCUCGGCACAUGCCA